rnacentral:rRNA from 1 species
GAGUUUGAUCGUGGCUCAGAUUGAACGCUGGCGGCAUGCCUUACACAUGCAAGUCGAACGGUAACAGGUCUUCGGAUGCUGACGAGUGGCGAACGGGUGAGUAAUACAUCGGAACGUGCCCAGACGUGGGGGAUAACGAGCGAAAGCUUUGCUAAUACCGCAUACGAUCUAAGGAUGAAAGCAGGGACCGCAAGGCCUUGCGCGUUUGGAGCGGCCGAUGGCAGAUUAGGUAGUUGGUGGGAUAAAAGCUUACCAAGCCGACGAUCUGUAGCUGGUCUGAGAGGACGACC